AUUGCUUCUCGGCCUUUGGCUAAGAUCAAGUGUAGUAUCUGUUCUUAUCAGUUUAAUAAAUCAAUAAACUAUAAAUCCAUGCUGAUGGCAUAAACAAAAUAGUCAAAGUUUGAUGAGGAUAGGAUAUUUA
rfam:Otolemur garnettii contig131579, whole genome shotgun sequence.